rnacentral:misc_RNA from 1 species
GGAUCCUUUCCGGAGACCAAUCUGGAAGCAAAAGGCAGCAGCAUGUUGGACUGACAGAACAGUGCCGAAGUAUAUACAGGAGGCAGAAUAUCUGGCUCAUGAUUGCCAUGUCCAAGUUGCACAAAAUAAAAAACUGUAAACUCUCUAAAAUUGAAGUUAAAAAUUCGAAGAAAAGAAGCCAGAUGAAAAAUAAAGUAGACUUUUUCACCAAAGCAGAGUAUCGUCCAACACCAGAUCUUUUAGUCGUGGUGGUUUGGCAUGUAUGUAUUAUCGUUACGACAAGGGAAGAACUAACCUUCACAACAAUAUCUGACUUGG